rnacentral:rRNA from 1 species
AGAGUUGAUUCUGGCUCAGAUUGAACGCUGGCGGCAUGCCUUACACAUGCAAGUCGAACGGCAGCACGGGAGCAAUCCUGGUGGCGAGUGGCGAACGGGUGAGUAAUAUAUCGGAACGUGCCCAGUCGUGGGGGAUAACGUAGCGAAAGCUACGCUAAUACCGCAUACGAUCUGUGGAUGAAAGCGGGGGAUCGCAAGACCUCGCGCGAUUGGAGCGGCCGAUAUCAGAUUAGCUAGUUGGUGGGGUAAAGGCCCACCAAGGCGACGAUCUGUAGCUGGUCUGAGAGGACGACCAGCCACACUGGGACUGAGACACGGCCCAGACUCCUACGGGAGGCAGCAGUGGGGAAUUUUGGACAAUGGGCGCAAGCCUGAUCCAGCAAUGCCGCGUGCAGGACGAAGGCCUUCGGGUUGUAAACUGCUUUUGUACGGAACGAAACGGCCCCUUCUAAUACAGGGGGCUAAUGACGGUACCGUAAGAAUAAGCACCGGCUAACUACGUGCCAGCCGCCGCGGUAAUACA